ACCGGACCGAGGAGCGGAGCAAAAAUAUACCGCUGCUGUUGGACAUGGGAAAUCUUGUACAGUAUCAUCUGAAAAUAUAUUUUUCUUUAGAAAAGUCAAAUGGCCUUACUUUUAAGUCCACCGCCCUUUGAUUUUUUGCAGUGGAUUUUUCAUGGGAUUUGUCAUUUAAUGAGAUUUGAACAUACUGGAAAACAUGGCACUGACCAAACUCAUAUCGAUAUGUCAUGAGUCAUUACAACUUGUCUAAGCAGACGCCAAGAAAGCUGCCCAGAACUUAUUUACUAUUUAUUUUAAAGGCUACAACCUACACAUUACAGUUAAAAACAAGCCUAGUAUAUAUGUCUUUGUCCAUAGUUUAAAGAUAGUCCUGCUAUAAAUCCUCUUAUUACUGUUUUAAAAUACAUUAAAACACACAAUAAUGGCUCGGUUACUUACAUUGUUCAUUGUAGACACUACUACAGGGGUCUUCAAUGUUUUUCAGGCCACAGACCCCCAACAGAGAUUAAGUAGGGACCCCCUGCCUACUGUAUGUGUUCCAUGUUAAAGUAGUGCUAUUUAUAAAUAUACAUUAUUAAUAUUAUUAUUAUCGUCAUUUCCACUCAAUAUUAAGAUAUUCUAUUAAUGCACAGGUUCAAAUAUAUACAUAUAUUUUUUUUUUAUUCCAAACAUGUGCAAAAGUAGGGUUCAUUUCAGAUCUGGACUGAAUAGGCUCUCUUCAAAUCUGUGGGGCACUACUGCUUAAAUGAGGCCACUGAAAGUAAAUUCAGAUGAGCUUGUUCUCAGAUUUGCCCUUUAAAAAGUAAAUGACUCACAGGGAUGUUUACUUCACACCCCCUAAGAACAGCAUAUUAACAUUUUUUUAACGAGCCCUUAACCCAGAACAAAAUACUAAAUUUAUAUUAUAUAUAUAUAUAAAUAUAUUCGAGGCUGUGGGGAAGAAAGGGCCUUAAUAUAUAGUUGUUGUUAUGCAAGGCAAGCUGGUGUUAUAUAAACCCAGACUAAGCAGAGGUCAGAGUUUCCACCAACAAGGAUUAGACAAGAUCAGAGUUUGAUCCCUAAGUGGGAUCAGGAACCAUAAAGAGAUCCACUGUUGAAGCUGCACGUGAUUUUAGAUUCAGAGGUUAGAGGUUUGAACCCUGUGUAGAUACUACUGACGAUGCCUGACCUCGUAACUGAACUCCACCCUGUACUGUCUGCCCUGUUCUUUUCCUUUCUAUUGUUUCUGUUCCUACAUUUUCAGCACCCAGUGUGCUAUUUACUCAACUAAUUGUAGCCGAUAAGAUGAGCCAACUCUUCACUAAACUCCAGCAUCUCAUGGUUGGGAUCCAGCUUCCUGUUCUUGCACCAGAAUGUGGCAGAUGGUUUUAAAGUAGGCCCUCGACUUAAGAUGAAGGCAGGUGAAAGAAUUAAAUUCCAGCUUCAACUGGUGGUGGCUAGCUAACGAAACAAACACUCAUUUUCUGCCUUUCAAAACGGACUUCUUACUAGUUGGUACAAGCUGGUGUGUUUCAAAAAUAAUACCAUUACUGCACUUGACUGUUACACUUUCAUGGUAAAGGUCUAAAGCAAAAAUUGUACAUCUACGCUGAGUUGCCCUGAGAGUCAGCAUUUCAAUCCAGAAAAUGGAAAUGCAGAGCCUCUUGUGUUAGCUCUACCAAGACAUGCAGUUUGAAAAUAAGCAGAUAUGUAAAUAUGUAACAGAAAAUGCACUUACGCUAAAGACUAAUGACUGCAAAUGUAUCGGCAUCUCUCAUAUGCUCUUUGGCUGGAGAAGACAAACACACUAUCCAUUCAUCCUUCCGUUUUAAUCUCAUGCAAUCAUGCUGUGACUAAGGCUUAUUUCUUUCCAUUUUCCGUUAGACAGCAAAUUCUAAUCAUUCCUCAGUGUGCACAGAGACCCACGGCAAUUUUAAAAGCUCCAGCCACUUGGCCUGACACACAUUCUCGUCUUGCCUCAGCCAAAGAAACUGCGGCGCGGUUCAAAAGCCCAGGGGAAACCAACUCCUUUUUUUAGAAAGGAGCAGGCUUCAGCUGUGAUUGAGCAGUGAUUUGUUGAAAUUUAACAAGCAAGCGAGGACGUUCCGGCAGCGUUACUGUUUCCCCAUUAUAAGGAGAGAGGCAUCAUUAGAAGAGGGUAGUGCCGUUUGCUUUCAGCUCCCUUCAGAUCGCCGACGUGGUUAUUGGAGAAAUUAGCAGGGAGGCGGGAAGAGGACAAGCUGGUGAGAAAUGAGAAAAGACGAGGGAAGAUGAAGCGGCGGGAGGUCAAAUGUGAUGUAGAGUUAGGUAGAAGGAGGAAAUGAGUGACACCUUUUACCCUAAAAUACUAAUUAUUUAAAACGAAUCAGCCCUCAGAGGUCGUCUUAUACCUUCUAAGGCUACUCUUUAUGCCACUGUGCCGUCUUGGCUGACCUAUCAACGUGUCUUCCUGCAUCAUGUAGUCUUAAGUCAGUCCGGUCUUAAAGGCACGUGUUUUUGCAUAUGCAUGUGUUUGGAUGUUGAGAUUCAGCCUCUGUGAACUGUGUCACCGGCCUGUCAGUCCUCCGCAGAGUCAACGAGGCGUGAUGCCCCUUCUCCAGCUUCAGAUCCAGCUUUGACUUCCCGCCUUCCUCGCUUGAUCUUCCAGAGGGAGGUGUGCGUCCCUCAGAGGCUCUCGGAGCGGUCGCGGCAGAUCGGAUCUCCGUGGCUAACUUUAUUAGAAGAUGAUCGCGCAGACAGAGUGACCCAACUGUCAGCUGUCGGGCGCAAGGGGACAGGCGGAGAAAUGAGAAGGAAAUAGUUCGUCAUCAGGAUCAAAACGAGUGAGGUGAAAGAGGGGGAGAUGUGGAGGACAGGCUGAGGAUAAUGAAGCAGGAAACGCUCGUCUUCGUCACAGCUUCCAGCGUGCUUCCUCGAGACACCUGAUAAGGGUGGGAGCGAGGAAAUGAGUGGACAAGAGUGGAGAGAAGGAUGAUAUUUGACAGGAAGAGUCGCAGCCUCUUAUGUCGAGACGAGUGGGAAUGGAAUGAGUCGUGCACUCGUACAAACUUCAGUGAGAGGCUAUUAUGAGAGGAAGACCAAUGAGGCCAGAAUAGAAAAGUGUGCAGGAGUAAAAGAAAAAAGGGAAAAGGGUAAUUAAUGCAUGGCUAAACACUGUAAAUAAAUUAAGGCGCUUAAAGGGGUAAAAGCAGAUUCUUUUUUUUUUUACUUCAAAUCAUAGAAGAGACGCAGAAGGAGGAGAAAUUAAUACAUUCAUCUGAAUAAAUAUGCGUACGUUUGUUUUCAUGGACGAUGUGCACAUACAUUAAACAAGGUCAAAGACAUGAAUAGACGUUCGCAUCAGAUUUAGCAGAAAGACAAUUUCUUUCUGUUCCAUCUGUUUCCAUCUCUGAAAAUAAAAAAAAUAAAAAAAAAAACGACAUCCAACACAGACCUACAGGACGUACAGAGGUGACUACAUGACACCACGCUACAAACAUUGCACAAAAAUACACAAACACUACACACAAAACACAAUCUAAUCCUCUAACUGAGGCAUAUAUACAUAAUACAAACAAUAGCACAUUAUACUGGGGGAUGCACGAUGUAUGGAAGAUUGGUCUUGGGAAAUAAAAGUUAUUAUCUCUUUAUUCGGUCGGUUGAGGUGCAGGGGACCAUGACUCUCCAGCAGUGACCUGAAGCAUCUACUCCGCAGUGUAAUUGGUGGAUUCUUUCUGUGGAAGCAUGAACCUUACAGUAUCACACACAAUCAUAUGAUACUGACGGCAUCGUUUGGACUCCUCAAAGAAGAAGGCACGUACUCCAGUAUCUAUUACUGCAGACGCCUUCCUACCUGGCAGUCUGGGAUUUCUUUACACCGCUCCAUGUUGCUGCUGACAAGACCUCUCUGUACAGUCACGCUAAAGUGAAGGAUAACACCUCUGUACUUGUCUCCGUCUCCUGGUGCUAGUUAACAACUCAGCUCCUUAACAACAAGAUUCUCAUCACCAACCUUCACCGGAGAAGCACAAGAUAAAAGAAACAUCUCUGUCAUCCAGAGAAACUGUGACUUUUUUUCUAAAAAAAACUCCAGGGAAAGUGGAUUGGAAUACUUUACUCAUUACAGGUUAAAGGUGCAACGACAUCUUUAAAAAGAAGAGGAUUUGCAUCAAGAGACAUCGUUAGAAUGGAACAGGAGAACAGUGGACGAUCGGUUAUUAAAAUCCUUUUCCUUAUCCGUGAUGACCCUGGAUCUUGUUUGGUGAAGACAGUUUAAAAUUUGGUUUGAGUGUCUGUACUGGUGAUCGAUUUCUUGUGUGGACGAAAUGGGGCCAGAUGAGACAUUCAAGCUGCAACCUCUAAUACAAAACCAGUGUAAUUUUUUUUUUUUUUUUUUUGAGAAAACCAAAUUGUUGUUUGGCUUGUUUGGUUCUGGAUGAUGUGUUUGUACUUCUAAUAAAGAGGCUUCACUGUGGAAGCUGGAGAAGUGGAAAUUAUAUCUUCCAAAUAUUUACAUAGUGCAUAUGAGACAUUUGACAUGUUUUUUUUGUUUUUUGUUUUUUUCAGACCUUUACUAUCACACUGGAUGUGAACCGAUCCCUAUACAAAAAGGUGAAUGCACAGCAAUGAUAUGACUGUAAACAACGUUGUGUGUGACUUAGUUGUCAUGCAUGGCUCUCUGUCCCUGCCUGUUCACGAAUACAUUAUAUAUAUAAUAUAUGUAUGUAUAUAUUAUAUGCACCUGCAAAUGACAUGCUCAUAUAUGUAUCGCAUAACAUGCAAUUAUGUUUAGGGGCUUUGCUUUUCUUUCUCUCUAUCAACAUUUUAAGUUUUAUUUAAGAAUAAUCAUCUUUGUACAUUUUUCCAGUCGUGUCAUGCUUUUUAAAAAAUAGUUUUGAAAAGUUUGCCGGUUCUACUGUACAUCUCUGAAUCACGUGUAAUGUAACUUAAUUAAACUAAUAAGAAUGUGA